rnacentral:lncRNA from 1 species
CGACACACAUGGUGCCUCGUCGAUUCGAAGUCGAAGUAAUAGUACGACACUUAUAGUGCCUCAUCAACUCAAGGUCGAAGUAUUCCUGAACACUUCCAAUCCUAUUGCAUGCCAACUAUAUCCAACUUAGUCCGACAUUGUUAAUAGGGUAUUCAAUUUACUUUCAAUUUUUCAAUCAAUACACAUUUCAGUUAAUCACAUAUAUUCUCAAUUCAAUACAAUUCACUUUACUUUUCAAUAAUAAAUAUUCAAAAUUUCAUAAUAAUCACAUAUUUAUAUUAAUUUCAUCACAUUCUCAAUCAAUAUACUUUUCAAAUAUAACAUAUAUCCAAUAAUCAAUUUUCACAUCAAUCACAUAUAUCUAUAUUAAUUCAAUUCAAUAACAAUUACUAAUACUUACCUUAAUUACUUACAAUAACACAUAAACCAGAAUAUAACAAUUAAUAAUUAAAAUUCGAAUUAAAUAUCAAUUCAAUUUAAAUUCAAUACCAAUGCUCAAAUAUCACAUAAAUCAUAAUUUCACAAACACUCAAUUCAAUAUCAAAUAUACUACACUUACCUUAAUUUUCUUACCAUAAACAUUUAAAUUAAAAUAUAACAAUUAAUAAUUAAAUUCGAAUUACAGAAAUACAAACCGUAAUUUCUGAGCUAACCCUCGUUGACUUUGCCUUUUCCUUUCUUAGCCGAGGUUUUCAGGGACAACGUUAGCUACGGAAAUUAAAACAAUUAAAAAUUAUCAAUACACUACCAUUCAAUUUCACAUUGAAUAUUCCAAAUUUUUAUUCAACUUUUGUCUAAAUUCUAACUUAGUCACUAAACCGAGACUAGCUUUUAUUCUUCACAUUUAGCUCAAUAUUUUCAAUCAAUUUCCACUUUAGAGUAAUUUCAGCUCUCCAAUUUGACCAUAAAACCAUAAUUUUGAAAUUCUUUCAAUUUAGUCCCUACUAUUAAAAACUUAUGAUUUAUUUUACAAUUCAAUUCUUAUUUCACUUCUAACUUGAAAUUCUAUCAAUUUAACCCCUAAUUCUUCAAUUUAUUCAACACGAACAAUAUUUAGAAAUCUAAUAACUUUCAAGAUUUCUACUUAAAACAAGUAGUAUUUGUAACGUCCCCCUAUCCGAGACCGUUGCCGGAGUCAAGCAGGAGACAUUACAAAACUUAUCUUAGCACUUAAACAGUUUUCGUAGUAAACUAUCCAUCUGCGUCACGGUCGCUAAAAAAAUCAUAUCUCGAGUUACGAAACUCGAAAUCCAAUUCCGUAAAUUUUUCCUGAAACUAGACUCAUAUAUCUACUGACUAUUUUUUUUUCUAGUUUUGGUCAGGCCAAUUAGUACAGUUUAUUAGAAAAAGUCUCCCCUAUUUUAGGGUUCGGCUACUCUGACCCUUGUGCACAACGAAUCAAAUUUCUUCCUGUACAGAAAUCCAAUGACUAUGCCAUUUGUUUCAAUUAAAAAUAGACUCAAUAAGGAAUCCAUACAUAUAAAGUUUGAGUCCUAAUUCUUAAUACACAAUUUAUGGUGAAUUUCUAAAGUCAAAACAGGAAAUCUAGAAAUUGCUCUAACCCUGUUUCAUCAAAACGUAAAUAUCUCAUAAAAUACAACUCUUUUACCUAUUUUGUUUCUUCCAUAUAAAAAUAGAUUCAUUAAGCUUCAAUUACAUAUUUUAUUCAUCAUUAAUUCACUUUAUACUAUUUUUGGUAUAUUUUCAAAGUUGGACUACUGUUACUGUCCAAAUCUGUUUUAGUAUAAAAUGUUGAUAACUAAGUUUAUAACAUCUUCAUUUCUUCUCUCUACAAUAUUUACCAACACUUCCUCUUAUUACUCUUCACUAACAUAUCAAAACAUACCAUACUUAAGGUUUUGGUAACAUUUACAAAACAUACCAAAAUAUCACUUAACAACUUAGAUACUUUCAAAAUGACCAAAAGACAUCCUAGGUACAAUGCCAUUUUCCAAAAAGAUAGAAACUUCACCAAAUUGAGUUCGGGGAUCGGCUUGUAUGCUGAGUCCUUAUACUUUCGUACCUAGCCUGUGCACGGAAACAAACCGUACGCUGAGAAUACUCUCAGUGGUAUUUUUAUAAACAAUAGCUUAAUCAACUUUAAAACAUGGUAAUUCAAACACAUUAUUGCUAUUAUUCAAUAUCAAUCAAUACUCUAAUAAUCUUUACUUUAUUUAUCCUUAUUAACAUAACUCGGACACUAACGGAUACACGGAUCCAACCCACACUCCAGGAUAAGCACAUAGUGCUUCAUCGGAACAAAUCCGGAACUUUAACAUUAUAGUACACAAAGUACUUCAUCGGAACAAAUCCGGAACUUUAACAGUAGUCGACACAUAGUGUCUCAUCGACUCAAUGUCGGAAUAUCCCAAUACUUUCAAUUCCUAUGACAUGUCAACUAUAUCCGACUAGCCCGACACUGUUAAUAGGGUAUUCAAAAUCACAUUCAUUUCAAUAUGGUAAAAAUACUUACCUCAUUCACAUUUUCAUACAAUAUAAAUAUCAAAUAUAGCAAUAACGAUUAAGCUCGGUUUAUAGAAAUACAAACCACUAUUUAUCGAAUUUAAUCGAUAUCUUCGUUUACUUUCUCUUUUCCCUUCUUUGAUGACGUAUCCG